GCGGCCGUGGUCUAGCCUGGUUAGGACUCGGGCCCCCCGAGCCCGCAACCCGGGUUCAAAUCCCGGCGGCCGCACCA
rnacentral:tRNA from 1 species